GAAGCGCCUAGCCCUGCAGGACUUGAUGUA
rnacentral:piRNA from 1 species